AUCUCCAUUCUCAACCCGAACUUGACCUCCUCCUCCAUUCUCUAGCUCAGACCCGGACCCAGCGUCCUCCGCCUUUCUCCGCAUCCGCCUCCGCCUCCGACCCCAACCUUAACCCCCUCCUCCUUUCUCCUUCUUCGUCUCAGAAACAAUGAACGCGAAGAACACCCCCACAGAGACCACCGGCGAGUCUCGAUUCUUGGGAACCAUCUCCGCCUCAUCGAUUCGAAACCUCCACCCCAGAUCCAUCUCAACCAAGCACGGAAAAUCCUUCUUCAGCCCCAAAAUUGCUCGCCCUCGAAAGCGUUUCGCCGAACUCGUUGAAGGACAAGGUUUAUAGGAUCUUCUGCAGGGAAAAGCGUAAUCUCGCCGGUAGAAAGGUAGCUGAAAUGGUAUGCAUUCAGAUUCUUUUUUCCGAUGGAUCUACAUCUGGUGAAUGAAGCUUGGGCUUUGAGUUGUCAGUUCUAAUUUCUAAGAAAAGAAUAAAAUUAGAACGAUGGGCACUAACUAUUCUGGGGAAGGAAGCACUGGCGGAAUCAUACAGAAAGUGAUGGAAACUAUUUUCAAAAGAGUGGAGACAACGAAAGAUAACACGGAGUUCUUGAUCAGGGUAUCGUUUAUUGAGAUAUUCAAGGAGGAAGUGUUUGACUUGCUUGAUCCAAAUUCAUCAACUCUCUCUAAAAAUGAAGGGGCAGCUACUACAAAGCCUAUAGCAAGAGUGCCUAUUCAAAUUAGUUAGAGAAACAGUGAGUGGAGGGAUAACACUUGCUGGUGUGACUGAGCCAGAGGUUAGGACGAAGGAAGAUAUGGGAUCAUAUCUGGUUCGAGGUUCUUUAGCUCGUGCUACAGGGAGCACAAACAUGAACAGUCAGUCAAGUCGCUCACAUGCUAUAUUUACAAUAACCAUGGAGCAAAUUAAAGAAGAUUUCUCACUGUCUGAAUGGAGCAAAUAAUGAUGAUAUCGGUGAGGUUUGUGGCUAUUCAAUCUGUAGUGGUGUUGUGGUUUGUGGAAAGAGACUCAAGUGCUUGGGCCUUAAACCCUAAGUUAAGGUUGUUUGCGGUUUUAUACUCAGCAAGUAGAUAAGCUAAAUUGACGACAAUAUGAUGCUCACUUUGAAACUUACUCAAACUCUCAGUGAUACUAUUGCAGGGAGUUUUUGGCUCAGCGUUCCAGGUUGGACUUUUUAGUCUUGUUCCGCUUCGCAAGGUAAUGGUUAUGGAUUACAAACUUACAUACCCCAGUGGGACUGCCACAACAAUGUUGAUCAAUAGCUUUCACACUAGAAGUGGUGCAGAGAUUGCUGGGAAGCAAGUGCAAUGUCUUGGAAAGUAUCUAAGCAUGAGUUUAAUUUGGAGCUGCUUUAAGUGGUUCUUCAGUGGUAUUGGAGAUUCAUGUGGGUUUGACAACUUUCCUAGCCGUGGAUUGACACUU